rfam:Heterocephalus glaber contig222356, whole genome shotgun sequence.
GAAUGUGUGGGUGAUCUGGCUGUGACAUCUGUCACCUCAUUUCCUGACAGGGUUCAUUUGGCUGAUCUGGCUGUGUUUGCAGUGUACCCUUCCUCCCUCACUGCUCCAUAUGCUUCCCUCCCAAGGUUGUGCUUGACCAAACAGGAGGACCAACCCAGAUAGAGGAGGACUUUUCUUCUAUAAAGAGUAUAUGAGUAGAUUCUUGUAAUAUUUUCCAUGCAAUUGGGAUUUUGUUCAUGAAGUCUUUGCCU